rnacentral:rRNA from 1 species
UACGUAGGCAGCAAGCGUUGUUCGGAGUUACUGGGCGUAAAGGGUGCGUAGGCGGUCCUAUAAGUAUGGUGUGAAAUCUCCCGGCUUAACUGGGAGGGUGCGCUAUAGACUGUGGGACUAGAGUGUGGGAGAGGAAAGUGGAAUUCCUGGUGUAGCGGUGGAAAUGCGUAGAUAUCAGGAGGAACACCGGUGGUGUAAACGCUUUCUGGACCAUAAACUGACGCUGGAGGCACGGAAAGCGUUGGGUAGCAAAC